AUUGAACGCUGGCGGCAGGCCUAACACAUGCGAGUCGAGCGGAUGAAGGGAGCUUGCUCCUGGAUUCAGCGGCGGACGGGUGAGUAAUGCCUAGGAAUCUGCCUGGUAGUGGGGGAUAACAUCCGGAAACGGGCGCUAAUACCGCAUACGUCCUGAGGGAGAAAGUGGGGGAUCUUCGGACCUCACGCUAUCAGAUGAGCCUAGGUCGGAUUAGCUAGUUGGGGGGGUAAAGGCCUACCAAGGCGACGAUCCGUAACUGGUCUGAGAGGAUGAUCAGUCACACUGGAACUGAGACACGGUCCAGACUCCUACGGGAGGCAGCAGUGGGGAAUAUUGGACAAUGGGCGAAAGCCUGAUCCAGCCAUGCCGCGUGUGUGAAGAAGGUCUUCGGAUUGUAAAGCACUUUAAGUUGGGAGGAAGGGCAGUAAGUUAAUACCUUGCUGUUUUGACGUUACCAACAGAAUAAGCACCGGCUAACUUCGUG
rnacentral:rRNA from 1 species